UACGGAGGGUGCAAACGUUGCUCGGAAUCAUUGGGCGUAAAGCGCACGUAGGCGGCGCGUUAAGUCGGGUGUGAAAGCCCUGGGCUCAACCCAGGAAGUGCGUUCGAAACUGGCGCGCUUGAAUAUGGAAGAGGGUCGCGGAAUUCCCGGUGUAGAGGUGAAAUUCGUAGAUAUCGGGAGGAACACCAGUGGCGAAGGCGGCGACCUGGGCCAAUAUUGACGCUGAGGUGCGAAAGCGUGGGGAGCAAACAGG
rnacentral:rRNA from 1 species